rnacentral:rRNA from 1 species
GACGAACGCUGGCGGCGUGCCUAAUACAUGCAAGUCGAGCGGAGCGGAGGAAGCUUGCUUCCAAAGCUUAGCGGCGAACGGGUGAGUAACACGUGGGCAACCUGCCUGACAGACUGGGAUAACUUGGGGAAACUCAAGCUAAUACCGGAUAGGAUCACGAAUCGCAUGGUUUGUGAUGGAAAGUCUGAACGACACUGUCAGAUGGGCCCGCGGCGCAUUAGCUAGUUGGUGGGGUAAUGGCCUACCAAGGCGACGAUGCGUAGCCGACCUGAGAGGGUGACCGGCCACACUGGGACUGAGACACGGCCCAGACUCCUACGGGAGGCAGCAGUAGGGAAUCUUCCACAAUGGGCGAAAGCCUGAUGGAGCAACGCCGCGUGAGUGAUGAAGGUUUUCGGAUCGUAAAACUCUGUUGUUAGGGAAGAACACCCGGGAGAGGAUCCCGG